rnacentral:rRNA from 1 species
AUUGAACGCUGGCGGCAGGCUUAACACAUGCAAGUCGAGCGGGCGAGGUUGCUUCGGUAACUGAGCUAGCGGCGGACGGGUGAGUAAAGCUUAGGAAUCUGCCUAUUAGUGGGGGACAACAUUCCGAAAGGGAUGCUAAUACCGCAUACGUCCUACGGGAGAAAGCAGGGGAUCACUUGUGACCUUGCGCUAAUAGAUGAGCCUAAGUCGGAUUAGCUAGUUGGUGGGGUAAAGGCCUACCAAGGCGACGAUCUGUAGCGGGUCUGAGAGGAUGAUCCGCCACACUGGGACUGAGAAACGGCCCAGACUCCGACGGGAGGCAGCAGUGGGGAAUAUUAGGCAAGGGGGGGAACCGUGAUCCAGCCAUGCCGCGUGUGUGAAGAAGGCCUUUUGGUUGUAAAGCACUUUAAGCGAGGAGGAGGCUUGCCUGGUUAAUACCUGGGCUAAGUGGACGUUACUCGCAGAAUAAGCACCGGCUAACUCUGUGCCAGCAGCCGCCGUAA